AUUGAACGCUGGCGGCAUGCCUUACACAUGCAAGUCGAACGGCAGCACGGGAGCAAUCCUGGUGGCGAGUGGCGAACGGGUGAGUAAUAUAUCGGAACGUGCCCGGUCGUGGGGAUAACGUAGCGAAAGCUACGCUAAUACCGCAUACGAUCUACGGAUGAAAGCGGGGGAUCGCAAGACCUCGCGCGAUUGGAGCGGCCGAUAUCAGAUUAGGUAGUUGGUGAGGUAAAGGCUCACCAAGCCGACGAUCUGUAGCUGGUCUGAGAGGACGACCAGCCACACUGGGACUGAGACACGGCCCAGACUCCUACGGAGGCAGCAGUGGGAAUUUUGGACGAAUGGACGCAAGUCUGAUCAGCCAUUCCGCGUGCAGGAUG
rnacentral:rRNA from 1 species